AUUACCGAAGCAUACGAGAGNNUGUAGCUGCCUUUACUCAAGGAUGUGCACGCCUUUCANUCUUGCAUCNCAACCACCUGCUGAACCUGUUAGUACACUGUGAUUGGCGUUUCACUGAAAAUGUGGAUAGAGAGCUUGCUGAACUGCUUGCUUUCAAUCAANUACGAGUCUACUCAUUUAUACACACUUUAUUUAAACCUUUGAAUGUAUUAUGUUUUGGUUGUAAUGACCUAUAACAUAUUAAAUACAACUUUCAGCAACGGAUCUCUUGGUCUCUCGCNUCGAUGAAGAACGCAGCGAAAUGCGAUAAGNAAUGUGAAUUGCAUGAAUCUCAGUGAAUCAUCGCAAUCUUUGAACGCACCUUGCACCCUUUGGUAUUCCGAAGGGUAUGCCUGUUUGAGUGUCAUUAAAUUCUCAAUCCUUUAAAGCUUUAUUGAUUUGAACGCAUUGGAUGUGAGGAUUAUUGCUGGCUUUAUUUUAAGUUGGCUCCUCUUAAAUGCAUUAGUGGCUUCUUUGAAGGAUCCACAUAUAAUGUGUGAUAGNAUAUCUACNUCAUAUAAUGGCUAGGUCAUGUAAAAA
rnacentral:rRNA from 1 species